ACGGCUCAGUAACACGUGGACAACGUGCCCUUAGGAGGAGGAUAAUCUCGGGAAAUUGAGAAUAAUACUCCAUAGGUCAUGGGAUCUGGAAUGACCCAUGGCCCAAAGUUCCGGCGCCUAAGGAUCGGUCUGCGGCCUAUCAGGUAGUAGUGGGUGUAACGUACCUACUAGCCUACGACGGGUAUGGGCCUUGAGAGAGGGAGCCCAGAGUUGGAUUCUGAGACACGAAUCCAGGCCCUACGGGGCGCAGCAGUCGCGAAAACUUCACAAUGGGGGCAACCCCGAUGAGGGAAUUCCUAGUGCUAGCACAUUAGUGUUAGCUUUUCUCCUGUAUAGAUAGCUGGAGGAAUAAGGGCUGGGUAAGACGGGUGCCAGCCGCCGCGGUAAUACCUGCAGCCCAAGUGGUGGUCGAUAUUAUUGAGUCUAAAACGUUCGUAGCCGGUUUAAUAAAUCCUUGGGUAAAUCGGGAAGCUUAACUUUCCGAAUUCCGAGGAGACUGUUAAACUUGGGACCGGGAGAGGCUAGAGGUACUUCUGGGGUAGGGGUAAAAUCCUGUAAUCCUAGAAGGACCACCGGUGGCGAAGGCGUCUAGCUAGAACGGAUCCGACGGUGAGGGACGAAGCCCUGGGUCGCAAACGGGAUUAGAUACCCCGGUAGUCCAGGGUGUAAACGCUGCAGACUUGGUGUUGGAGACCCUUCGGGGGUAUUCAGUGCCGGAGAGAAGUUGUUAAGUCUGCUACUUGGGGAGUACGUCCGCAAGGAUGAAACUUAAAGGAAUUGGCGGGGGAG
rnacentral:rRNA from 1 species